AAAAGAGGCUUCGCCUCAUCACUUCUCCGAUGUGUGGGAGGUGAAGAGGCCACAUAUAUACUUAAGGAAAUCCAUGAGGGAAUCUGCGAAAAUCACUCCGGAGGAACGGCCCUGGCACACAAGGUUCUCCGUCAAGGCUACUUCUGGCCGACCCUAAAAAGGGAUGCUUACCAGUUUGUCCAGAAAUAUGACAAAUGCCAGCGCUUCUCGAAUAUUCAAAGGCAGCCUUCUCAGAACCUCUCUGUGGUAACCAGCCCCUGGCCAUUCGCCAAGUGGGACAUCGACUUUAUUGCUCCACUCCCUAAAGGAAGAGGAAGCGUGACAUUUGCCAUUGUCGCCAUUGACUACUUCACCAAAUGGGUCAAGGCUAAACCUCUUGCAAAGGUUAUCGAGUUAAAUACUACAAGAUUCGUCUGGAAGAAUAUCAUUUGUAGGUUCGAUAUUCCCCACUCCUUAGUGUCCGACAAUGGGAGACAGUUUGACAAUCCAAAAAUGCGAGAAUUGUGCGACGUACUAGGGAUAAAAAAUGAUUUCUCAACGCCUCAUCACCCGCAAGCAAAUGGACAAGUUGAGGUAGUAAACAAAACCAUCAAGCAUACCCUGAAAAGGAAGCUUGACACAUCAAAGGGGGCUUGGGUCGAUGAACUUCCCCACAUCCUCUGGGCAAUCCGAACCACAAGCCGAACUGCAACUGGGGAAACACCAUUUUCAAUGACCUACGGGGUCGAGGCCAUGAGCCCGAUCGAAGUAAGGGUCCCAUCACACCGUCGAAUACACUUCAAUGAGAUCAGUAACGACGAGACCCGGGUGAACAACCUCCACUUCCUUGAAGAAAGAAGGGAUACCUCCCAGGUGAAUUUGGCAAAGUUAAUAAGAAGAUGACCCGCUAUUAUAACUCCAAGGUCAGAAAUCGAACUCUUCGCCUGGGAGACCUCGUCCUCAGGAGGGUCUUCCAAUCAUCAAAGCCAACCGGGUCAGGAGUGUUUGGACCGAACUGGGAGGGUCCUUACGCAUCCG
rnacentral:lncRNA from 1 species